AUGGAAUGUACUACCUGGUACCUUUCUAGAGGGGAAACCAGUGUCUUAACAGAGAACUAAAUCGCUAAGCAGUAUUGUUUGUAUUUAAUAUUUAGGACUAACAUGUUGUUGGUAAACUUGUUUAUGUUGCUUAUUAAAUGUAUAAUAUUUUCCAGUUAAAAAUAAUUGUUUAAAAUCAAAUGUUAAAAAGUGAUUAACCCUGCUGUGUAAAAUAGGCUGAGCCAAUCUUUUAAAAAGGCAAUGUUUGCACUGUUAGCAAUUUCGUGGCUUUGCUUCUCAUUAGGGUGGAGAGUACGUCCUAAACCAGAAGUUUGCAAGAAAGUUCUACCAUGCCCUGAAACUGGAAUGCGCUUCCUCCUCACAUACGUGGGUUGGACUCAAUUACGCAGUUUGAAACUGCUCUUAAAACGCAUCUCUUCAAGAUGGCCUACUCACUAUGAUUGUUGUAUUUUAAGUUAUUUUAAUAAAUUCUGUAUUUAUUUCA